rnacentral:rRNA from 1 species
UACAGAGGGGGCAAGCGUUAUUCGGAAUUAUUGGGCGUAAAGGGCGCGUAGGCGGCGAUUCAAGUGACGGGUGAAAUCCCUCGGCUUAACCGAGGAACUGCCUGUCAGACUGGAUUGCUUGAGGCCGGGAGAGGCGAGUGGAAUUCCCAGUGUAGCGGUGAAAUGCGUAGAUAUUGGGAGGAACACCAGCGGCGAAGGCGGCGCUCUGGGCCGGUACUGACGCUGAGGAGCGAAAGCGUGGGUAGCAAACAGG